rnacentral:lncRNA from 1 species
UAGUUCAUAGAUUUUUUUUGUUAGGUUAGAUGUGUAGUAAUUUAGAUAUGUAGUUCAUAGAUUUUUUUGUUAGAUUAGAUUUUUUUGUUAGAUUACAUGUGUAGUAAUUAAUUUGUUCAUAUUAUGUUAGAUUUUUUUGUUAGAUUAAUUAGAUUUUUUUUGUUAGACUAGAUAUGUGUAGUAAUUAAUUUGUUCAUAUUAUGUUAGAUUUUUUUUCUGUUAAUAGAUUUUUUUGGUGAUAUUAUUAUUGAAUAUGCAUGUUUGGUGAUAUUAUUGUUAAUAGAU